rnacentral:rRNA from 1 species
AUUGAACGCUAGCGGGAUGCCUUACACCUGCAAGUCGCACGGAGUGGCGAACGGGUGAGUAAUGUAUCGGACCGUGUCCAGUAGCGGGGGAUAACUACGCGAAAGCGUAGCUAAUACCGCAUACUCGUGGAGCGGCCGAUUUCGGAAUAGCUAGUGGGGGGGGUAACGGCCCACCAAGUCGACGAUCCUGAGCUGGUUGGAGAGGACGACCAGCCACACUGGAACGGAGACACGGCCCAGACGCCUACGGGAGGCAGCAGUGGGGAAUUUUGGACAAUGGGGGAAACCCUGAUCCAGCCAUCCCGCGGGUGCGAUGAAGGCCUUCGGGUUGUAAAGCACUUUUGGCAGGAAAGCGGUACCUGCAGAAUAAGCACCGGCUAACUACGUGCCAGCCGCCGCGGUAAUAC